UACGAAGGGGGCUAGCGUUGUUCGGAUUUACUGGGCGUAAAGCGCACGUAGGCGGAUCGUUAAGUCGGGGGUGAAAUCCUGGAGCUCAACUCCAGAACUGCCUUCGAUACUGGCGAUCUUGAGUCCGGAAGAGGUGAGUGGAACUCCUAGUGUAGAGGUGGAAUUCGUAGAUAUUAGGAAGAACACCAGUGGCGAAGGCGGCUCACUGGUCCGGUACUGACGCAGAGGUGCGAAAGCGUGGGGAGCAAACAGG
rnacentral:rRNA from 1 species